UAUCCCAGAUCUCUGAGGAGAGCCUGGUGCUAGGAUGGAGAAGCGCAGGUAAGAGGCUGCAGACUUGCUGUUACUCGGUGAGUUAAGUCUCUUACCUCCUGUGUGACCCUGGACAAAGCACUUAACCUCUCUGUGCCUUAGUUCCCUCUUCCUAAAAGUGAGUUCAACAUGAUCACUCUGCCCAGCUGACAGAGUUGUGUAAGGCUCAAAGAAUACACAGACUGAAAAAUUCUAUAUAACUAGGAAGGAACUAGCUCAAGUUCUGUUGUUUCAACUUGAAUCUUGAGGAAACUGGGACCCAGAGAAUCUCCUCUAAGCGCAGGGAUAAGGGCAUUUCUCAAUUCAAAUCAUGGGACGUGGAAAUAUGGAAGAAAGUGGUGGCCUAGUGCUGUGGUAGUCUCACUGAAGCAGAGCAACAAAACAUCCAGGACUUGAGUCAAGUUACUGGAGAAAAGGGAACCAAGGAAAGGCAUGAAGGGGAUCUGUUGUUCUGACUGAACACACAGGUAGAGAUCAAGACUGGACAGUGAAAGCUGCUAUGUGAUAAGCUCACCGUAGCCCUCUUGGUGAGCAAAAGCAUAUCCAGAUCUUCGCGAGCUUGAUCUCCGAGUCUGAGGCUUUCGGCUACGCAGGGGCCUUGCCUUCUUUUGAGCCUUCUGCCACUGGCGGAUCUGGAGACAAAGGAGACCCAGAGUGAGACGGAGGAUCCAAAUGACAGACUCCACAUAGAGGGCCACUUCCUGAGGCAGAGGACAUGGUUCCAAGAGCAAAGAAUCAACCCCUCAAGUACCCAUCAGUGCUGCAACAUACCUGAUCACUCAGCGUUGGGAAUAAAUCCACCUUCAAAAAUCUGAAUGCCACCACAGGCAUAACUGAAGCCACUGUUGUUAAGAGAAUAACAA